UGGAGACAAUGAACAGGGGGCUGUUGUA
rnacentral:piRNA from 1 species